rnacentral:rRNA from 1 species
AGAUUGAACGCUGGCGGCAUGCCUUACACAUGCAAGUCGAACGGUAGAGUAGCAAUACUUGAGAGUGGCGAACGGGUGAGUAAUAUAUCGGAACGUGCCCAGUCGUGGGGAUAACGUAGAGAAAUUUACGCUAAUACCGCAUACGAUCUAAGGAUGAAGACGGGGGACCGUAAGGCCUCGCGCGAUUGGAGCGGCUGAUAUCAGAUUAGGUUGUUCGGUGAAGGUAAAGCUCACCAAGCCGACGAGUCUGUAGCUGGUUUGAGAGAACGACCAGCCACACUGGGACUGAGACACGGCCCAGACUCCUACGGGAGCACGUCAGGUGGGAAUUUUGGACAAUGGCGAAAGCCUGAUCCAGCAAUGACCGCGUGACCAGGAAGUAAGGGCCUUACGGGGUUGUUAAAACCGU